AUUGAACGCUGGCGGCAUGCCUUACACAUGCAAGUCGAACGGCAGCACGGGAGCAAUCCUGGUGGCGAGUGGCGAACGGGUGAGUAAUAUAUCGGAACGUGCCCAGUCGUGGGGGAUAACGCAGCGAAAGCUGUGCUAAUACCGCAUACGAUCUACGGAUGAAAGCGGGGGAUCGCAAGACCUCGCGCGAUUGGAGCGGCCGAUAUCAGAUUAGCUAGUUGGUGAGGUAAAGGCUCACCAAGGCGACGAUCUGUAGCUGGUCUGAGAGGACGACCAGCCACACUGGAACUGAGACACGGUCCAGACUCCUACGGGAGGCAGCAGUGGGGAAUUUUGGACAAUGGGCGCAAGCCUGAUCCAGCAAUGCCGCGUGCAGGAUGAAGGCCUUCGGGUUGUAAACUGCUUUUGUACGGAACGAAACGGUGAGCUCUAAUACAGUUUGCUAAUGACGGUACCGGAAGAAUAAGGACCGGCUAACUACGUGCCAGCCGCCGCCGUAA
rnacentral:rRNA from 1 species